rnacentral:lncRNA from 1 species
UGCGUGCGGUAUUGCUGGCGGCUCCCCUGAGAUGUGGAGGGCUGACUCCUACACCCAGUAGCCAUCACUAUGGGUAAAUCAGCCAAAUUGCAACCCUCUGGGCGCAACGGAAAAGGUUUCCGACCUGCGUCCCUCCUGCCUACCCCCCACCCCCUCCCCAAGUCUCCACCUAGGUCUUUGCAUCUGCUGAUCCACCCGCAAGCUUGCAGGAAUAUAGGGGACACACCGGCUCUCUAGAACUGAAACCGAGAUCGCCUAUGACCUCCAACCUUCAGCCCCACAACGAGAAGAGAAGCAGAAAGUGAAACUACUGUUGCUCUAGCAGAGAACAGCAGCCGCAGAAGAACUGUGCAGAUGAAAGCCGAGCUUGCCCGCUCGUUCUUCCUGUCUCGUUAUUGCUCAUAUAUAGCUUUUAAGGAAAUAAAAGUAAUUUUGGUGACACGGGUAAGACAUUUAAAUGUGGUAAAACAACUAAGAUUUGGGAUUUUGUUGGAUCUGUGUUUCCUCUUAUGACACAAAUCAGACAGGCAGAUUUGGAGAAGGUUUCUACACACACACACAGUCACAAUGUUAAGAGUGAGAGAAACACAUUCAUGUUUUAAUAGUAGUUGACAGCUAUAUUUUAAAGGUAGACUGUAAAGCUACCAAGCGGCUUCUCUGCACGGGGCAUCAAUGUUUACAUUUUAGCUGCAUUUUGAUGCUACGCAGUGCUAGUUUUCUAGGUAAUUGCCACCCAGUAGCUGUUACUCAGAUCGACUGAGCCACUUCUACCAAGCAACAAGCACACAAAAUGUUCCAUAAAAUACUGUCUAAAUCAGGCACCUUCUCCUCUACAGCCAUCUCCAUACUUCUACAUGUUCUCCAGACAUUCCGUUUUGUUUUGUUCUUAAUGAGAAAAAAGUCUUGAGGAGGGAAAGACAUCUAUGUCUCUUACCCUUCAAAAAAAAAUGUUCCUUAGUUGAGAAAGGAAUUAAAAACAUGGAACACACAACAACCACAUCUGGAUCACUUUUCAAGCAUCCCAGCUACAAAGCCCCAUUUCUCAGAGAGCUGCUGAUGGUCCUAGCCCUCUUGAGAAAUGUCAUGACCCUAGAAAGACAACACAGCAAGCCGCCACCUCUGGCUUAUUGUCGAAAAUAACGGCAAGAACUUAGACUCAAGCGCAUCAAUGAUGAGUGAAAACUGCUAACUCAGCAGCCAUACCCACUGGUCCUGUCCAUCCGCAGAGCAACCUGUAGACGACACCCGGGGCUGCAGGCAGAAUGAGUGGAAGCUAUUUGGGGUCACAUAGGACUGUGUGAGGGGAGGAGGUGACUUUGUCUUUGAACUUGGGGAAACUCCAAACAUUCCAUACUAACCUGUUAGUUAUUUCCUCCUAAAAAAACUAAUAGCAGGAACUUGCAAACAAUUAAUACUCUCCUUAUCUAUGACUGGUACAUCAGCAACCAACAAAAACACAUGAAAU